rnacentral:rRNA from 1 species
CCCUUAGAUGUUCUGGGCCGCACGCGCGCUACACUGAUGCAUUCAACGAGUCUACAACCUGGUCUGAUAGGGCUGGGUAAUCUUUUGAAUGUGCAUCGUGAUUGGGAUAGAUGAUUGCAAUUCUUCAUCUUCAACGAGGAAUGCCUAGUAAACGCAAGUCAUCAGCUUGCAUUGAUUACGUCCCUGCCCUUUGUACACACCGCCCGUCGCUCCUACCGAUUGAAUGCUCAGGUGAGCCAUUCGGACUUUCAUCAUGCUGGUUUCCAGUUUUGAUGAAGGAAAGUCUUGCGAACCUUAUCAUUUAGAGGAAGGAGAAGUCGUAACA